rnacentral:rRNA from 1 species
GAUGAACGCUGGCGGCAUGCCUUACACAUGCAAGUCGAACGGCAGCACGGGUGCUUGCACCUGGUGGCGAGUGGCGAACGGGUGAGUAAUACAUCGGAACGUACCUUAUCGUGGGGGAUAACGCAGCGAAAGUUGCGCUAAUACCGCAUACGCCCUGAGGGGGAAAGCGGGGGACCGUAAGGCCUCGCGCGAUUAGAGCGGCCGAUGUCUGAUUAGCUUGUUGGUGAGGUAAAAGCUCACCAAGGCGAUGAUCAGUAGCUGGUCUGAGAGGACGAUCAGCCACACUGGGACGAGGACACGGCCCAGACUCCUACGGGAGGCAGCAGUGGGGAAUUUUGGACAAUGGGGGCAACCCUGAUCCAGCAAUGCCGCGUGAGUGAAGAAGGCCUUCGGGUUGUAAAGCUCUUUUGUCAGGGAAGAAACAGCAGCUCUAGCACAGUCUGCGAAUGACGGUACCUGAAGAAUAAGCACCGGCUAACUACGUGCCAGCAGCCGCCGUAA